rnacentral:rRNA from 1 species
GACAAACGCUGGCGGCGUGCUUAACACAUGCAAGUCGAGCGGUAAGGCCCUUUCGGGGGUACACGAGCGGCGAACGGGUGAGUAACACGUGGGUGACCUGCCCUCAGCUCUGGGAUAAGCCUGGGAAACCGGGUCUAAUACCGGAUAUGACUCCAUGACGCAUGUUGUGGGGUGGAAAGCCUUGUGCGGCUGAGGAUGGGCCCGCGGCCUAUCAGCUUGUUGGUGGGGUGAUGGCCUACCAAGGCGACGACGGGUAGCCGGCCUGAGAGGGCGACCGGCCACACUGGGACUGAGACACGGGCCCAGACUCCUACGGGAGGCAGCAGUGGGGAAUCUUGCGCAAUGGGCGAAAGCCUGACGCAGCGACGCCGCGUGA